UGGGAAUUUUGGACAAUGGACGCAAGUCUGAUCCAGCCAUGCCGCGUGCGGGAAGAAGGCCUUCGGGUUGUAAACCGCUUUUGUCAGGGAAGAAACGAGUUUCUCUAAUACAGAGACUUAAUGACGGUACCUGAAGAAUAAGCACCGGCUAACUACGUGCCAGCAGCCGCGGUAAUACGUAGGGUGCAAGCGUUAAUCGGAAUUACUGGGCGUAAAGCGUGCGCAGGCGGUUAUGCAAGACAGAGGUGAAAUCCCCGGGCUCAACCUGGGAACUGCCUUUGUGACUGCAUAGCUAGAGUACGGUAGAGGGGGAUGGAAUUCCGCGUGUAGCAGUGAAAUGCGUAGAUAUGCGGAGGAACACCGAUGGAGAAGGCAAUCCCCUGGGCCUGUACUGACGCUCAUGCACGAAAGCGUGGGGAGCAAACA
rnacentral:rRNA from 1 species